rnacentral:rRNA from 1 species
UCAGGAGUCAAAGAAUAUUAGUCAAUGCUCGAAAGAGUGAACUAGCUAACUGAAAUCAAUAAAAUAAAUUGAUAACAUAAGGGAAAAUAAUGAUAUUACCUUAUUAUUAGUGUCGUCCAAAUCUGGUGCCAGAAGACUCGGUAAGGCCAGAGACAUAAACGUUAAUCGUCUUAAUCAGGCGUAAAGGGUUUGUAGGCGGCUUUAAAAUUUACUUAAAAAUUAAAUAAGUAAAGAAUAAAAGCUAGAAUCAAAUAGAGGAUAUAUUAAAGAACGCUUAGAGUAGGUCUGAUAUCCUUAGAUACUAAGUAGAAUAUUAAAGGCGAAAGCUUUUUUCCAUUAAUGAUUGACGCUCAGAAACGAAGGUGAGGAAAGGAAAUAGGAUUAGAUACCCAGAAUACCCCUCUCUGUCAACGAUGAAUGGUAGUUAUUAGUAAAAUUAUUAAUGGCAAUGUUAACACGAUAACCAUUCCGCCUUGUGAGUACAACUGCAAAGUUGAAAACAAAAAAAUUAGUCGGUUUCGGAGCAAACGAAGUGAAGCAUGUUAUUUAAUUCGAUAAUUCCGCGAAA